AUUGAACGCUGGCGGCAGGCCUAACACAUGCAAGUCGAACGAGUGGCGGACGUGUGAGUAAUGUCUGGGAAACUGCCCGAUGGAUGGGGUUAACUCCUGGAAACGGUAGCUAAUACCGCAUACCAUCGGAUGUUCCCAGAUGGUAUUAGCUAGUAGGUGGGGUAACGGCUCACCUAGGCAACGAUCCCUAGCUGGUCUGAGAGGAUGACCGGCCACACUGGAACUGAGACACGGUCCAGACUCCUACGGGAGGCAGCAGUGGGGAAUAUUGCACAAUGGGCGCAAGCCUGAUGCAGCCAUGCCGCGUGGGUGAAGAAGGCCUUCGGGUUGUAAAGUACUGUUAGCGAGGAGGCGUUACUCGCAGAAGAAGCACCGGCUAACUCCGUGCCAGCAGCCGCGGUAAUUC
rnacentral:rRNA from 1 species